CCUACGGGAGGCAGCAGUGGGGAAUAUUGCACAAUGGGGGGAACCCUGAUGCAGCAACGCCGCGUGGGUGAAGAAGUACUCCGGUAUGUAAAGCCCUGUCAGCUGGGAAGAAAAUGCCGGUACCUUACCAAGAAGCCCCGGCUAACUAGUUGCCAGGCGCCGCGGUAAUACGUAGGGGGCAAGCGGUAUCCGGAUUUACUGGGUGUAAAGGGGGCGUAGACGGCAAGGCAAGUCGUGAGUGAAAGCCCGUGGCCCAGACACGGGACUGCUUUGGAAACUGUGUUGCUGGAGUGCAGGAGGGGUAAGCGGAAUUCCUGGUGUAGCGGUGAAAUGCGUAGAUAUUAGGAGGAACACCGGUGGCGAAGGCGGCUUACUGGACUGUAACUGACGUUGAGGCUCGAAGGUGUGGGGAGCAAACAGGAUUAGAUACCCCUGUAGUC
rnacentral:rRNA from 1 species